GAUGAACGCUGGCGGCGUGCCUAAUACAUGCAAGUCAAGCGAACAGACGAGGAGCUUGCUCCUCUGACGUUAGCGGCGGACGGGUGAGUAACACGUGGAUAACCUACCUAUAAGACUGGGAUAACUUCGGGAAACCGGAGCUAAUACCGGAUAAUAUAUUGAACCGCAUGGUUCAAUAGUGAAAGACGGUUUUGCUGUCACUUAUAGAUGGAUCCGCGCCGCAUUAGCUAGUUGGUAAGGUAACGGCUUACCAAGGCGACGAUGCGUAGCCGACCUGAGAGGGUGAUCGGCCACACUGGAACUGAGACACGGUCCAGACUCCUACGGGAGGCAGCAGUAGGGAAUCUUCCGCAAAGGGCGAAAGCCUGACGGAGCAACGCCGCGUGAGUGAUGAAGGUCUUCGGAUCGUAAAACUCUGUUAUUAGGGAAGAACAAAUGUGUAAGUAACUAUGCACGUCUUGACGGUACCUAAUCAGAAAGCCACGGCUAACUACGUG
rnacentral:rRNA from 1 species